UUCCGGUUGAUCCUGCCGGAGGUUACUGCUAUCGAGGUUCGACUAAGCCAUGCGAGUCGAAUGUAGCAAUACAUGGCGAACUGCUCAGUAACACGUGGACAACCUGCCCUUAGGACGGGGAUAAACCCGGGAAACUGGGUAUAAUACCCGAUAGGUCUCGAUUGCUGGAAUGCAUCGAGAUUUAAAGCUCCGGCGCCUAAGGAUGGGUCUGCGGCCUAUCAGGUAGUAGUGGGUGUAGCGUACCUACUAGCCUACGACGGGUACGGGUUGUGAGAGCAAGAGCCCGGAGAUGGAUUCUGAGACACGAAUCCAGGCCCUACGGGGUGCAGCAGGCGCGCAAACUUUACAAUGCGAGCAAUCGUGAUAAGGAAACCCUGAGUGCCUGUCGAUGCAGGCUGUUCAUAUAUCUAAAUCAUAUGUGAAGAAAGGGCAGGGCAAGACCGGUGCCAGCCGCCGCGGUAAUACCGGCUGCUCGAGUGAUGGCCACUAUUACUGGGUUUAAAGCGUCCGUAGCUUGACUGUUAGGUCUCUUGGGAAAUCUUCGCGCUCAACGUGAAGGCGUCUAAGAGAUACCGGCAGUCUUGGAACUGGGAGAGGUAAACCGUACUUCGGGGGUAGGAGUGAAAUCUUGUAAUCCUCGAGGGACGACCUAUGGCGAAAGCAGUUUACCAGAACAGCUUCCACAGUGAGGGAC
rnacentral:rRNA from 1 species